ensembl:lncRNA
UCAGACAUCCUUGUAAAGAGUUCACACGCCUGCAGAGAUUUGAAUUUGCGGUCAGUGGAGCUGGAUGCAGCCACGGUGGGAAUGAGGAGAAGUUGCAUGGCCAUGUGGACACCUGCAGUGCCAGUCCUGAGGUGGGAUCACAGCCCUGCAGCAUCCCAGAAAAGCAAACAGUAUCUGCAAGCCUGAAAACACCCAGCACCUGCUGAGGAGUGAUCAGAAGAAUUACCAACACAGAUCCACCAGGACCAACGUGCUCUGCUGGGAAAACCCUCCCAAUCUGAGGCAUUUGAGGCUUGUCCUGGAGCCCUGGCAGCACUGCUGCUGGCUGUGGUGAGCUGAUGGAUGAUGCUCCAGCCCCAGGGGUCUCAAUGUCCCCAAAAUGUGCCCUUAUCUGGUGCAGCAGGAGUUAAGAGAAAGCGAGCUGCUAUCUCACUGAUCCCUGCUGGGACAGCUCUCCUCAUUUUUAGCUUUGAUAUUCUUGUGCUGGAACAACCCUGGCUUCUCUGGGCUCAUUUUUUUGCAAAGCCUGGCUGGGAUUUUAACCAGAAAGGGUUGGGGAAUCUUAUCAAUCUGCUAUUAUUAUUAUUUUUUUUUUCUUUCCCCUUUGAAUUCCACUCUGCUGCUGACUGUGAAAACACAACAAGAGCCUGAAAUCGGUGGGGCCUUGGCGCAUUCAAAUUGGCACCAGUUUGUUUGUUUUGGGGCUAAAGCCAGAGUGAGAAAGCCGGGGCUUUGAGAUGCUAUUGGAAUCACCUGGGAAAAUACACACUCCUUUCAUCUCCCCUGUGGCCAGGAGGGAUCUCUGCCCCCAGCUGGGCUCCUCCCAGCCCCCUCCUCCUUUUUAUCAGGGCAGGACCCUGGCUGUGCCUGGGGACGGGCACUUGGCCAUAUCACAUGGAGUGAAAGUCCCCGGGGAAUAGAUGUUUCUCUUUCAAGGGGGAGAGCGUUGGACAAGGUAUCAAAUACCUUCCAGGCUGUCAAAAAUCAAUGCUGGGAGCUGCUUCUCUUGAUCCUGACAAGGAGCUGCUGGUAACACCUAACCGCUGGUGCUGCUCCAAAAGGGGGACCUGAAUGCAGCAAUGCAGGUUUUUUUAUUUUAAAUUUUUUUUUCUUGCAGAAAUGACAUGUCCAGAGACAUGCACAAAGCUCCUUGAACAAUUUAUUUUUUUUUUUAGGCUUCUAAAAAUUUUUAUGCAUCUUUCUGAGCCUGUAAAAACAAUGAUUCUUUUUCUCUUGUAAGAACCAAGGCCAAACUCCCUGCAAUGGAAAUAGUUCUGCUGGCCCUGCACACCAGCACUGGUGUCACCACUCUCUGAUUUUCUCCCUCAGCCCCAGGUCCCUCACUAGAAGGUGAUGAAAGCAGUGGCUUACAAGAAGCUUUGGGGAUGGUGUUAGCCAUUUAUUUGCUCAAUGCUGUCUGUUAGGAAGAAAUUCUUGGCUGUGAGGGUGGGCAGGCCCUGGCACAGGGUGCCCAGAGAAGCUGUGGCUGUCCCUGGAUCCCUGGCAGUGUUCUAGGACUGUAUCAGUUUUCAGGACACAGAUCUGCUGCAGAGCAGGAAUUUGCCCUUUCUGGAUCCGUGUAGCCUGCUCACACCCACUGCUAGAGAGUGAUUGAUACGAGCUCAGCCAGCAGCCCUGGGUUUGAAAAAGGUUUCAUUUGGAGAGAAACAUCCCACAUUUAUCAAACAGAAGGAUGACAUGGCCCCUCUGAAGAGGGCCUUGAAUGUUUACAUGAACUUUGUUGUCCAGCUGUAAGCUCAGCUCUUCCAUCUGCAGCCUGGAAGGUGUGAUCCCACAGGGUCACACCCUCAACCCCCCCAUCACCUGAGCUGUCAAACAAGGAAUGGGCUCUGCACAUGGGUUUUGAACAUCUUGGAAAUGAGGGGGGUUUUCAGCAAGUUCUGGUUGCUUUUUCAGUAAGGAAAUUUGUCCCCAUGUUCUCUUUCUCCUGUGUAGCUGAAGUCUCAUUACAGGCUCUUUGUUUUCUGGCCAUGUUCAAAAAUAAUUUCUGGUACUAUUCCCUACAGCAUUAACUAAGAAUUUGACCAGUCGAGACGCCUGGUACAAGAGUUUCAUAAGAUUCAUGUAUGACUGAGACCAAAAUGGUUUUAAUAUCUGUUUGCCAGUGACAGGAUUUGGGAUUUCUUGGCUUUGUUUAUUGUGUUCCUUCUCUGUUAGCUCCAGUGAUGUGCCUGAAAAAAAGCAUUGCACAGACACCAGGUUUUGCUGCAUGAGUCACUGCCAGAAUGAGGAUUGAUAUCUACCCCAGUCUUGAAUUUCCUCAUGUUUGGUGGUACCUUCCCUUUCCUCUCUGCCUUUAGCCCAAACUGGUGCUUGAAGUGCUUGUUUUGGAAAAGCACAGAGCAUGAAGGUUUUGAUUGGGUAUUGGGAAAAAUUUCUUGAUUAAAAGGGUUGUCAAGCACUGGAACAGGCUGUCCAGGGCAGUGGUGGAGUCACCAUCCUUGGGGGAAUUUAAAAGAUGUGUGGAUGUGGCACUUGGCAGUCUGGGGGAAAGGUUGGACUCGAUGAACCUAAAAUACUUUUCCAACCUAAACAAUUUUAUAUAGCAUAGAAACAACUCUCUGCACCUGUAGGGAAGGUCAUGAGAGCUGGUCUGAUCAUUCUGUGUGUGAAAGGUCAUGAAUGGUGCCCCACUUAGCUCAUAAAUUGCUGUAAAAGUUCAGGAUUUUAAAAAUAAUGAGUUAUUCCUUUUAGGUUAUGUUAUUUUCCAUUCCUUGGGUUUUCAGGCUUUGGUUCCCAAAUUCACAGGUACAGGGCAAGCUGAGGCACAGUGCAGAAUGAUUUCAAGGAAAAGAACUAUCAAGUGGAUUCAUUUUUGGAACUGUUUCAUUGGUCUGUAAUAUCAUAAACACUGCCUUUUAAGCAAUGUUUGCUCCCAGUUGCCACAAUAAAACCUGGCUCAGACCAGUAUGGAGAUGACCUGAGAUCUUCACAUCUUAUGCACUAUCCUCACCACCCUUGUAGCAGGGAUGAAAUGUCUCCCAAGGAGUCCUUAGAGCAUGGCAAGGCUGCUGUCCCCAGGAAAAGGUGAUAAAUUGGGCACUGACCUGGGGACUUGCCCCAGAGCACUAAAUAAAUGCAUGAACAAAUCUGGCAGAGGUUUUCACUUGGGGAGCAGAAACCCCACAUUUGCAACAUAAUCCAGUGCCACCCAGUUGGGAAAACAGUCUUUCAAGAAAAAAUGGCCCAAAUUUUCUGCUUACAUCCAGACUUUGAUGCUGGAGUAUUUUUUCUGUCACUGAGAGAUGAUUGACUGUGACCUUUUUAAGAGCAAAGAGUUGUCAGGAGCUCCAGAUUCCAAGGUGGGAGUGUGGACUGCAACAUGCACUCUGUGGCAAAGCCUAAAAAUGGCUUUUCAGUGUCACCUGCAGCUUUUUGUUCACUCAGGUUUGUGUCCUGGCCUGUGAGACAGUCCCUGGACCACACCAAGGCACUGUGAUGAUGUAGAGUGGCAAAGACAUGAUUGUGUUAAAUCUGUGGGAUUUGUAAUGGUAUUUUUCCCUCCAGCAGCACAUCCCUGAAUUAAACCAGGCUUUCUGUGCAGAAUAACUGGCAGCCUCUGCACAACAUCUGCUCUUGGUGGGGCAGUGGAGCACGUGCCUGGUACAAGCAGUCCUGCCUGUGGCCAGUACAUUAGUGCAGAGCUUUAGGAAAGAUUUUACAGCAAAAUCCCAAUUUUGCAGUAAGCUGGCUGCAUGUUUUCACUUUCCCUGGUAAUUGCCAGCUUCUUGUGUCAUCAUAUCAGUUUCAGUGGCUUUUGAAGCCACCACACUGCCUUCUUCAGCAGAGGAGUGUUCUCUUAGACAUGGACUCUUCUGGAGAAGGAGCUUGUUUUUUUCCCAGGGAAGGCUGUGCUUCCAUGUGCACGUCCCAAAGGCACUCAGUGUCUCCACAGCCCAAUGUUUCACAGGCAUUACCAUCUUUUGUGCCUCUGUGAGGCUUUGCAGGGGGCUUAUCCCAGCCACUCUGCCUGGGGUGAGAUUGACCCCACUAAUGCAGGGCAAGCUUAAGGGUUUCAAAGCCUGCCUCAAGCCCUUGGAGAGCUCUCCAUAUUCCCAUCCUGUCCUCAGGACACUGCUGGCUCCCUGUGCAAUGCCCAGACCCAAGCAGCCUUUUGUUGUCCCCAAGUUCCACUGACAACAUCCUGACCGUGCUCUGUGCGAGUUGAGUUUAGUGAUGCUGCUGAGCUUGUAUGGAGGGUAUAACCCCUCCAGGAUAAGAGUUAUGCUUCCCACCAGACUCUUCCAGUCUGAGGCAGAAAAAGACAGGAUGAUCCAGCCAGUCUUUCAUCCCUAAUGAGAGCCUCCUCCUUCUGCCAUGGAGCUGUGCCAUUGUCCCUGUCGAUAUUGUUGUAGCAGAGCAAAGGAGGAGCAGGGAAAGGAUCAUUUAGCACGUGAAAGGCACCUCUUGUAUGGGGCUACAUGCAUGGCACAGUUCAGCCGGGGUGAGCGACCAGCUCCUGCCAAGCUGUGAUGUAUGAGGCCCAAAGGUCAAAAGUUCUCCUUUACAAUCAGCAAGAAAAGAGAAGGCAGGCGAUGGUCACUUAAUUUGUGGGUUUUUCCUCUACUUGUCAGGAGGAGUUUGGGCAGCGGUGAAGGAUGAGCCAUCAAUUAAAGUCGGCCACUUUGUCUUUUGUCCUGGUUCCCAAAGGGCCCAAUUCCAGCCCUGGCCAAAUCGAUGGGAGUCCCUCCACUGAUGCCAGCAGCUCCUGGAUUGGGAUGAUGGAGGCUGUGGAGCAACUGGGUUGACCAGCCUGCCCUUCCCCAUGCUCAGUGCUGGGUCUCUGGCUCCUCAGUUAUCAGGCAGGACUUUUCCAGAGCUGAGUCUUUUAACAUUUACUCCCAGUCCUUAGAUUUCUGUCCCUGCUCCCUCCCCGUGUAGGUUCUUUCCUUUGCAGCUGGGGCAGUGAGCUGUGCAGUGCAGCAGCUCCUACUCACUCCUUCCUGCUUAUCUGACCACACAUACUGUUAAUAUUUCCUCUAAGGCACUCAGCUCCCAUGAUAACGCUGCUUUAUCCACAAAAAAAGCCUUUCAACGUUUUCCUGGCAAGAGGAACCUUUCCACAGUUUUAUUGCAGCAUAUAUGGCCCUUAAUGGUUUGAUCCUGUAGGACCUGCUCUGCAAUCAGCUCUCACAGUCCUACACAGGCACAGGCCAUCUGGGACCCCCUUCUUUGGGAAGUAUUGUUUCACAUUAUUGCACACACUGGCCUAGGAAAACUAAGCCAGAUUUACAGCCAUAAAAACUCAGUUUGAAGGUGAAGUCAGUACUGACUGUGAGGGAUGGCUCAGCCUCCCUGUUCAUGCCUGGCAGGGAGCCUUUGAUCUUAGAUGUUUAUAAGUUUCUUUCCACAUUGGAAAGAGACCUCAGUGUGUGCACCAGGAACUUCUUCCUCCCAUGUCCUGGUGCCCAGGUUUGCAAGGCAGAGAUGCUCCAAUGACCUCUUCCCUCUGACCAGAUGUGUACAGUGUGGGAUUUGGAACCACAAACAUGUGGAGGUCACCAGCUCAGAGGAUUUAACUUCACUGGAAGCCUGGGCCUGGCACAGGCUUCCUGAGUUUAGUGUGGGAAAGAAGAGGUACCAUGAACUCUCUCCUUUGUUCACCCCUGUGUCAGUCCUAGCUGGGGUGAAGGAGCUUCCAGACACAUAAUAUGGGCAUGGCCAAGUGGUUGCCUCCACAAAGGGGUAUAAUUAGGAAACUGGACACAUUUUCCUCCAUCACUGGUCUUGGUUGACCUGAAUAAUAACCUGCUCCUUUAAAACAGACACACAGGGCUGUUUUCUUUGUGUCACACAGGCUGUGUGAGGAUUGCUUCUCCUCAGUCUGGGGGGAGAGGUUGGGGACUAUGGGAUUUUAUGACAGCACUGGCUGGAAAACCUUCAUUGUCUGGUCAGAGCCUGCAGACACUGUCACAUGCCUGAGUGCUCCCAGGCUGGAUGGUUUGUGUUGGCCUGGGAUGAACAGACACUAAUCUUGUCUCUGCUACAUAUCUCCUUGGAGAGUUAUCCCACUCUCUCUUUGCUGCUCCUCAUCACAGGACCUGGCAUAAAACACCAUGAAAAACUGUUUUUAUGGGAGUGGAACAGAAGCCAGUUUAGUGUUUUUCAAUCAGCCCCUUUUCUUACAGCAACACUCAUGAGGAGGACACAGUUGUGAUUUCCAUUGAAUGGAUGGCUUGGCAUUUCCAUUUGGAGUGAAUGAAAGCAUUUUGGAACUCACCAGUUAAAAUUGUUGCAAUAAGAAAAUACAUAUAGUAAAUACUCUAAAAAAUUGGGGGACCCAUGGAGACAUGUUAUUCCAGUUGGCAUUUUUAGUCCUGAUGUCUAUGCCAUGGUUGUUUCUGGAAUGCUGCAGGUCCAUGAGCACAUUCCAAUACCAAUAAAUGCAUAUUCCUGCAUAUUUUAUGUAAAGGACUGGAUGGAGUCCCAGAGCCAUGUUGUCCAAGGUCCUGUUUCUUACCGCCUGGGACCAUGUUCAAGAGGUCAGAGGAGCCCGGAUCUCCUGACCAGAACAUGGCCAGAAGAAUCCUGGACGACGCUCUAGCCUUGGGGACUGUUCAAGUUGUGAGUGUUGUUUUUGGAUGAUGGCAGAGGUUGAAUAAAUGCUGCAGCUGUAGAGAGCACCCUCACUGGAGAGCUUAACUCCCCGUGUCAAUAUGGGAUUUACAUUUCCAGGCUCCAUGCAUCCAGCCUGCAGGACUCCUCUGUCAAUGGGGUGGGCAGAUCCAGAGCUUACUUUGGCAGAAGAGUUCCUCAACUCUUGUUUAAUUAGAACUCAGACCAGCUUCCUGGAGACUGUGGGAACCUCAUUAGCAGCACAAAUAGAAACUUGAAGAGGCCAACUCAGUGGGAAAAGAUUGCUUGCUAAGAACUUUACUUACCAAGAACUUAACCUCUUCAAGAGUUGUGUCUCUUAGGUACAGCAGAAGAAUUUAUGGCUGGAAUACAAGGUCUCACAAUCUUCCAAAUGCUGAAGAUUUUGUUUUUCAAUGUGAAUUAAAACCUCUCAAAUGAGUAGAAAAAAA